rnacentral:rRNA from 1 species
AGAGUUUGAUCCUGGCUCAGAUUGAACGCUGGCGGCAUGCCUUACACAUGCAAGUCGAACGCAGCACGGGGGCAACCCUGGUGGCGAGUGGCGAACGGGUGAGUAAUGCAUCGGAACGUACCCAGUUGUGGGGGAUAGCCCGGCGAAAGCCGGAUUAAUACCGCAUACGACCUGAGGGUGAAAGCGGGGGACCGAAAGGCCUCGCGCAGUUGGAGCGGCCGAUGUCGGAUUAGCUAGUUGGUGGGGUAAAGGCUUACCAAGGCGACGAUCCGUAGCUGGUCUGAGAGGACGACCAGCCACACUGGGACUGAGACACGGCCCAGACUCCUACGGGAGGCAGCAGUGGGGAAUAUUGGUCAAUGGACGCAAGUCUGAACCAGCCAUGCCGCGUGAAGGAUGAAGGCCCUCGGGUUGUAAACUUCUUUUAUCUGGGACGAAAAAGGGACUUUCUAGUUCAACUGACGGUACCAGAGGAAUAAGCACCGGCUAACUCGUGCCAGCAGCCGCGGUAAUAC